UACGUAGGGGGCAAGCGUUGUCCGGAUUUAUUGGGCGUAAAGAGCGUGUAGGCGGCUUGGUAGGUCCGCUGUGAAAACCUCGAGGCCUCAACCUCGAGACGUCGGCGGAAACCAUCUGGCUAGAGUCCGGAAGAGGAGAGUGGAAUCCUGGUGUAGCGGUGAAAUGCGCAGAUAUCAGGAAGAACACCCGUGGCGAAGGCGGCUCUCUGGGACGGUAC
rnacentral:rRNA from 1 species